rnacentral:rRNA from 1 species
CGCCUGGGGAGUACGACCGCAAGGUUGAAACUCGAAGGAAUUGACGGGGACCCGCACAAGCGGUGGAGCAUGUGGUUUAAUUCGAAGCAACGCGAAGAACCUUACCAAAUCUUGACAUCCUCUGACCCCUCUAGAGAUAGAGUUUUCCCCUUCGGGGGACAGAGUGACAGGUGGUGCAUGGUUGUCGUCAGCUCGUGUCGUGAGAUGUUGGGUUAAGUCCCGCAACGAGCGCAACCCUUAAGCUUAGUUGCCAUCAUUAAGUUGGGCACUCUAAGUUGACUGCCGGCGACAAACCGGAGGAAGGUGGGGAUGACGUCAAAUCAUCAUGCCCCUUAUGAUUUGGGCUACACACGUGCUACAAUGGACAAUACAAAGGGCAGCGAAACCGCGAGGUCAAGCAAAUCCCAUAAAGUUGUUCUCAGUUCGGAUUGUAGUCUGCAACUCGACUAUAUGAAGCUGGAAUCGUUAGUAAUCGUAGAUUAGCAUGCUACGGUGAAUACGUUCCCGG